rnacentral:lncRNA from 1 species
UUGUGUCUUCCUCUUCUGGGUCUGCAGUUUGCAUUUUAGCACGAAACCUUUUCCAAGAGGAGUGCUAACUCUGGAGUCAGCUGGUCAGCUGUUAAUACACACAAAGACUUCUUGGGAAGCAGAACAAAAUGGAAUAAUCCCAGUCCUACCCAAUGAGUAGGAUGUAGCCUGUGCUGGCUCUAUCCAAGAGGCAGCCAGGUGUUACAGCUGGAACUGUAUAAGCACAGAAGAGGAGAUGGUCCCUGCCCAUGCACGACCACAAUUUGAACAAGUUUGAGAAACGCUGGGAGGAAAGGAAUAUUAUCCACAUGUUGGAGAGCUGAUGCUGAGAGGUGGAGGUGUCUGUGGUAGAGCUAUGAAGUAAAUCC